rnacentral:rRNA from 1 species
UACGUAGGCAGCGAGCGUUGUUCGGAGUUACUGGGCGUAAAGGGUGUGUAGGCGGUUGUUUAAGUUUGGUGUGAAAUCUCCCGGCUCAACUGGGAGGGUGCGCCGAAUACUGAAUGACUUGGAGUGCGGGAGAGGAGAGUGGAAUUCCUGGUGUAGCGGUGAAAUGCGUAGAUAUCGGGAGGAACACCUGUGGCGAAAGCGGCUCACUGGACCACAACUGACGCUGAUGCACGAAAGCUAGGGGAGCAAACAGG